UGCAACAAUUAAAUUUCAAAAAUUUACAACUUCGUUAUAUGAAUUCAAUAUCGAAUUUCGCAAAAUUGUGAUUCAAAUAUAUUUAUUUCGACCAGCAUUGCUAUUAUUUAUUUCAUAAAUAUUCAUAAUUACAUUAAAAGUAUUAAGAUUUUAGAUUCGAUUCACAAACGAAUAAAUUAAUUACAAUUUCUUAAUAAAUAUUUCCACUUGCUUCUCGUAAUUUACACAAGUGGUCCAGAGGACAGCACAGGACGAGUACAAACCGACAAGUUUUGCUGGUCGUUUAAGAGGCCGUUCUGGCAAUUGUUACGAUCGUUGAUAUCGAGUUACACUUCGUAUGUGUACACUGUGAUCUCACACAUGCGCAGUUGUUGCUAAAACAUCCAUGACGUAGAUCAGGUUAAAGUUCUUGCCAAACUCUCGUUAGACAUGAGGAGAGGGAUAGCGAGGAGAGAUUAAUAAGAAAACAGAUAACAUACGCGAGAAAGGUGGUGAUGGAACGAAGAAAAGAGAGAAAUGGAUACGGAUGGAGAGAACACUAUAUUCAAAGUUUAAAAUAAAUCUUAAGUUAAAUUCCAUCUUCUCGGAGGAAAAGCAUAGAGUUGAAGAAACACAUUGGAAGAAAAGAAGAAAGUUUAGAGAACCACGAAACGCAAUAGAAACUAAACGUAAUUGAAUGUCAUGUUUCAUAUCUAUCCUUUCUCGAAAAGAAAUAGCAGCAUUGCAUCGCGGAUCUCUGAAUUCUCGACAUUUUCCAGGAAUCCUUGACUGGAAAUCACGGCAUUCAACCUUGCAUGGUGUUUACUCAAACCAGUGCCUCGUGGAACACACGUUAUAUGCAUGAGACUGAUAUGAGUUCCGGAAAGGAAAGUGCAACUAUAUCGAGCGACGAGGCGUCGAAAGGAAAUGCUUGCUGUAAUGUAAACUCCUUUGCGAUCGAAAAUUUGCAAUCGAAAGUCCGUAUUUCAGAAUAAAAGGUUUUCUAUUUUUAAUUCAUUAUACAAUAUUGCACGCUUGAACAAUCAGAACAAAAUAAUACAUGAAAAGUUCAAAGCUCAUUUUUAUCUUCAAAAAUUGGUGAGCAACAAGUGAAUAAUAAUAUCGAGAGUAACAUCACUUUCUUUUUUUGAAAAUUUUUUCAAUUUAUACCUUUGUUGCAAUCUAUAAUUGUUGUAUCUAUGAUUGAAUAUAAGAAAAUUUCUCAAAUAGUAUCAUGUACAUCAUUAAAAAGACAGAUUAAUAAACGAAAUAAAACAUUGCAAAAAAAUAUUAAGAUUAUUAAUCUGUAGCAAUAUUAACGUUAUUAAUAAAAUGUUUUGUUGCAGAAAGAUAUUAUGAAAGAUUAUAUGCUUGAUCGAUCUCCUGGAGAAAAGUAAUUUUUUAAGACACAUUAAACUUGUUCCCUUCCUCGUGAGCAGUAUUCUCGACAACAUGAAACUUCGACCCCACUUAAGAUCGUGUUUGCGUCGUUCAAAUCGAAUUUGCGAGCAUUUGACAAAUGGUUCAGGCUUGCUUCUGGCAGUUUUCUAAUCUCCUCAGCCUUCGAUUUUAAUUCACCUUGCUUUCUUGGUUACAUGCUGAGAAAAAUCCAUCUUCUGAGAUAUUCUUGGCUGUUACUGGAACAUCUAAGGAACAACAGCGGUUUAAAACAAUUUUUCCCGUCAAUUCCAUCCUAUAAAUUCAUUUUUAUUUCUUUUACUUGGCAUUUAUUACUCCCUACAUAUUCAUUUGAAUGUUCAUAGCCCAUUUGUGGAAAUGAACAGGCGACUAUUUGGCACGUUAAACGCUUUACACAGUAGCAACAGAUGUUGACCUAUUAUUGUGUAAUCUUUUACAUAUUUAAAUGCAAAUUUAAAUGCAUAUUUAAAUACAAAUAGACGUAUCAGAUGUCCAAUCCAAUUUUGAUACGAAUUAUGUUAUUAAUAAUU